rnacentral:rRNA from 1 species
GGAUGAACGCUAGCUACAGGCUUAACACAUGCAAGUCGAGGGGCAGCAUCAUCAAAGCUUGCUUUGAUGGAUGGCGACCGGCGCACGGGUGAGUAACACGUAUCCAACCUGCCGACAACACUGGGAUAGCCUUUCGAAAGAAAGAUUAAUACCGGAUGGCAUAGUUUUCCCGCAUGGGAUAAUUAUUAAAGAAUUUCGGUUGUCGAUGGGGAUGCGUUCCAUUAGGCAGUUGGCGGGGUAACGGCCCACCAAACCUACGAUGGAUAGGGGUUCUGAGAGGAAGGUCCCCCACAUUGGAACUGAGACACGGUCCAAACUCCUACGGGAGGCAGCAGUGAGGAAUAUUGGUCAAUGGACGAGAGUCUGAACCAGCCAAGUAGCGUGAAGGAUGACUGCCCUAUGGGUUGUAAACUUCUUUUAUACGGGAAUAAAGUGAGCCACGUGUGGCUUUUUGUAUGUACCGUAUGAAUAAGGAUCGGCUAACUCCGUGCCAGCAGCCGCGGUAAUACGGAGGAUUCGAGCGUUAUCCGGAUUUAUUGGGUUUAAAGGGAGCGUACGCGGGUUGUUAAGUCAGUUGUGAAAGUUUGCGGCUCAACCGUAAAAUUGCAGUUGAUACUGGCAACCUUGAGUGCAACAGAGGUAGGCGGAAUUCGUGGUGUAGCGGUGAAAUGCUUAGAUAUCACGAAGAACUCCGAUUGCGAAGGCAGCUUACUGGAUUGUAACUGACGCUGAUGCUCGAAAGUGUGGGUAUCAAACAGGAUUAGAUACCCUGGUAGUCCACACAGUAAACGAUGAAUACUCGCUGUUGGCGAUAUACAGUCAGCGGCCAAGCGAAAGCAUUAAGUAUUCCACCUGGGGAGUACGCCGGCAACGGUGAAACUCAAAGGAAUUGACGGGGGCCCGCACAAGCGGAGGAACAUGUGGUUUAAUUCGAUGAUACGCGAGGAACCUUACCCGGGCUUAAAUUGCAACUGACGGAACCGGAAACGGUUCUUUCUUCGGACAGUUGUGAAGGUGCUGCAUGGUUGUCGUCAGCUCGUGCCGUGAGGUGUCGGCUUAAGUGCCAUAACGAGCGCAACCCUUACGGGUAGUUACCAUCAGGUUAUGCUGGGGACUCUACCCGGACUGCCGUCGUAAGAUGUGAGGAAGGUGGGGAUGACGUCAAAUCAGCACGGCCCUUACGUCCGGGGCUACACACGUGUUACAAUGGGGGGUACAGAAGGCAGCUACACGGCGACGUGGUGCUAAUCCCAAAAGCCUCUCUCAGUUCGGAUUGGAGUCUGCAACCCGACUCCAUGAAGCUGGAUUCGCUAGUAAUCGCGCAUCAGCCACGGCGCGGUGAAUACGUUCCCGGGCCUUGUACACACCGCCCGUCAAGCCAUGAAAGCCGGGGGUACCUGAAGUACGUAACCGCGAGGAGCGUCCUAGGGUAA